rnacentral:lncRNA from 1 species
CGCCCCAGAACUUCCACCAGCAACAUAGUUUUGAGAUUUGACAAAACUAUUAUCAACUUCUCCAUGACUAAUCCAUACUGUAUAAUCUUCUUUAAACCCAUUUCGAUAAAGAUGAAGCUUAACAAUAUCAGGUUUUUCAUAAUUCCUGCAUUUACAUUUACUACAAGGACACUUAACCAAGCCAUCGAGUUAAAAAGGUUCCAGUGUCAUUGCAUAGUCCAUAAAACCCUCGACACCGGCUACAAAUUCAGG